UGGGAUUAUAGGCAUGAACCACUGCGCCUGGCCUAUUUUUCAAGUCUUUUCAUCCUCCUGUAUCUGGAAUAAAAUUCCCUUUCUCAUUCCUCAUUUUGUCUAUUUUUGUUUGCUUUUUUCUUUAUUGGGGUUGUGAAGGAUUCAUCUUUUUUGUUUUGCUUUCUAUUAAUUUUAGUCUCUAUUCUUUCUUGCAAGUUUUGUUCUCUUUCAAUUUCUUAAAUACUUCCUUUUCAGGCUUUUAAGACCCAAGAAUUCCUUGGUACAGCUUUCUCUGUAUCCUGUAAAUUUUGAUAUGAAAUAAUUAAUAGUCUCUUUUUCUUUGCUUUUGAGACCAUUGGUAGUUUUCCUUUUAAUUUCCUCUUUGAUCCAAUAGAUAUAUCCAGGAAUGUUUUCUUAAUUAUCAGAAAAUAUAGCCUACAACAUCUACUUUUACAAAAAUUUAAAGUUUCUUUAGUGAUAUACUUUUUUAUAUGGAGACAUACUAAAAAAUUCUAUUUGACUGAUGAAAGGCUUUCUAUGUUUUUAUUAAACCAAACUUCUUGUUUAUAUUCAAUUUUCCUGUCAUCUUGUCUCUUCGUAUAUUUUAAAUCAAGCUCUUCUAUGUUAAUCACUCUUGUUUUACGUAUUCGUUACGUUGUUUGUUUGAUAUAGAUCAGCUGUUCAGCACCUACUGUCUCUCAACAUGCUUAGUGCUCUUAACCCUAAAUUCCACAUUGCCUGACGCUACCAUGCAUGCAUGCUUUUUUGUUCACCUGUCAUCACUAUUCUCACCCCUUUAAGGGCAACCUUUUAUUAUCACUUUAUGUGUGUUUCUUGGAAAAAAGUUAUUGCUAGUUUUUAAACCCAGUCUGCUCAUCUCUGCUUUUAAUUGGGGAAUUCAGUCAUAUUUGAUACGAGAUAUUCACUUCUCAACUACCAAUUUCAAACAACAUUCUCUGUAUCCUCUCUUAUCCCAAUAAAAUGAGGUUUAAAGUGAAGUUUUGAGUAUUUUUACUCCCCCUUUCUGCAUACUCCCUACUUUUGUUUAUUUUUUGAAACAGGGUCUCACUCUGUCACCCAGGCUGGAGUGCAGUGGCAUGAUCUCGGCUCACUGCAGCCUCCACCUUCUAGGCUCAAGUGAUUGAUUCUCCUGUCUCAGCCUAUCAAGUAGCUAGGACUACAGGUGCGUCAGCACACCUGGCUAAUUUUUUUAUUUUAUUUUUUGUAGAGAUGCGGUUUUCCUAGGUUGCUCCUGCUGGUCUCCGACUCCUGAGCUCAAGUAAUCCUCCUGCCUCAGCCUCCCAAAGUGCUAGGAUUGCAGGUAAGAGCCACUGCACCUGGCUCCUACUCUUUUUACUGAAACAAUUUAUCUUUAGUUACAGCUUGGUAUCAGAAUUUCUUUCAUUGUCUCUCUCCUCAUUCAAAUGUCCUCACCUGGCACUUAUUGUACAUUUCUAGAUAGCCUCUCCUCAUCCAUUUUACUUUUAAUUUUAGAUCUUCCUCUCCUGGUUCAUUACUUGCCACUAUCUCUGUCCACCUUGAUGUCUCUAAUCUGGCUCAUCUGAUGUUUGUCUAGUAUCUUUCCUUAGGUGUGGCCCAUGAGUGAUGGGCUCCCUGAGUUCCUGCGUACCCGUAUAUCUUUCUUUUGUCCUGACAGGUAAAUGAUGUCUUGCUUGGGAAUAGAACCCUUGGAGCGUGUAGAUGGGAUACCACGGUCUUCCAGCUCCUAUUGCAGGGCUGCUUUGUGUGGGAAAGCUGGUGGCAGAUCAUGGAAAGACGGCCCAUCAUAGAACCAAACACACGUGAUCACAGGCAUGACGCAAAACAAUGAAGCUUGGUACCUUCCUCUCGCCACAGGAUGUUUGCAACUGCAGCAGCAGAGAAUGAGGAAAGCAGGAGUGUGAUGGAGUCAAGGAAAAAGAAGAAAGCAGUGUUAAACCGUCACUGCAGUGAUUCCAUUUAUGAAGAUCCUGGUACCUAGUCCAUCACUUACAGAAUCUAUACCACUCAUUGCCCUAGGAACAGUAUCUUGGGGGAAGCUCUGGACAUGAACAAAUGCUUUCAGGUCUCCAGACCCUUUGAUUCUUAAGUGAAUCUUUGAAAUCAUGCCCUAGGACCACAGAAGCUAAUGGAAUUUCUCACAUUUCAUGGAUGAUCAAGAGUAAGCAACAUCUCUCCCAGAUUUCCUGGACAACCAGCAGGAGAAGUGACUUUCAACUAGGAUUCUCCUAAGAUGACCACGUGAAAUACUUCUGAUUAUCUACUUUGAUGAAAAUGGCUUAGCCUGGAGUCUUUGACCAUGAUUAACACCCAUGUCUAUGAAAUCACACCUGCAGGCCUACCUGGGGAGCAGUGGUUAUGAGGAGAGCACGCUUAGCACACCGAUGGGCUGGACCCCUAGUGUAAAGGCUACCACACUCCCAAUGGUGUGCAUGUGUGCACAGGUCAGGUUCUGGGCCACUGUGGGACAUCACGUGGAUGAAGGGCAGAGGUUCAGGGCAUACAGCAAGUAAAAAGCAGAGCUGGGACUCGACUAUUUGGGUUUCCUUGUGUUCCUGGGCUCUGUCUGCUGUCCAGGGAAUCUCCCUGUCUGUUUCCAGAGUUGUCUAGGUUGCCAGGGAAGGCCUGCUCACCUCUGGGUGCCCUCCAAUUCCAGCUUUAUGCAAAGAGGGAUAUGAGGCUUACCCCUGUCUUCACGGGCUCAUGGUUGGCAGCUGUGGCCCUGGUCAAUUGGUGCCCUCCCUUGCCACCCAACACCUCCCAGCCAGCUCAGUGAGAAGCAUAAACGCGUGUCGACUUACGGGUCUUUCUAGCUGAGUCUUCAAUGAAGAGCGAGGAGAUAUCUUCAUCCACACCCACUUCAUUUUUGGCAAUGCAGGUGUAUGCCCCUGUGUCUUCAUACCGAACACUGCUGAUGUGGAGUUCGCUCCCAUUGGCUGCAGACAGGACAGUGCUCAGGGUGGACUGCUCAGCUGGAGACCCACUCACUUUCCUUUAUGGGGCCAUUGAGAGUGUUAGGGCUGCCCAGCCCCUGGGCAGCCAGCAGCCCUGAUUAUACGCCCAGGAAGGGCUGGCACAUCUGAAAUGCACUGAGGGUGAGCUGGACCUGAGUGACAGCUUCUCAUCAUUGCUGUCAGAAAGCCCCAAAAGAUCUGUGUGAGCCCAGAUAACAGGGAAAUUUGGGAGCCAUCUGUUCACUCCUAACCUGUCUGACUUAUAAACAAAUUAUACCUCUCGUUUCCAUUCCUGGAGUCUCAGCUUGAUUUGAAUGGGAAUAUCGCAUAGACGUCUACCAAGGGCAGUUCUUACCUAAAAGGGAGAGCUGUUUGGACAUCUGAGUUGAGACAUCCACGCCGUUUUUCAGCCAAGUGAUUCUGGGCAUGGGAAUGCCCUCAGCAUG
rnacentral:lncRNA from 10 species